CGCAAGCCUGACGGAGCAAGACCGCGUGGGGGAGGAAUGCCUUAGGGUUGUAAACCCCUUUUAUCUGGGAAGAACAAAAUGACGGUACCAGAUGAAUAAGCCUCGGCUAACUCCGUGCCAGCAGCCGCGGUAAUACGGAGGAUGCAAGCGUUAUCCGGAAUCAUUGGGCGUAAAGAGUCCGUAGGUGGCUAGUCAAGUCUGCUGUCAAAGACCGAAGCUUAACUUCGGAAAGGCGGUGGAAACUGAAGAGCUAGAGUACAGAAGGGGUAGAGGGAAUUCCCAGUGUAGCGGUGAAAUGCGUAGAGAUUGGGAAGAACACCAGUGGCGAAGGCGCUCUACUGGGCUUGUACUGACACUGAGGGACGAAAGCUAGGGUAGCG
rnacentral:rRNA from 1 species